rnacentral:misc_RNA from 1 species
GUUGUCGGUUUCUUACCGCACGGGAACGAACCCCCCUGGGUGGCGGGAGACGCGCGCGGGGAAAUUCAAUUUAUAUAAAUAAAUCAAGGCCCUAUAUACCGAAAUAGAUGACAUCUUAUGAAGCUUUAUCAUGAGAAUUGCAUACACGUGCUGAAGUCAUAGAGGCCACUGCAAAGGACAUUAUAAGGGUGGCGCUGUGACCAGCGGCUACAAGACGACGCUAUCGGAUUAUCGAGGGGACUACCUACAAAGCAUUCCAGAUGUUGCGACUGGACGGUCUGGUGCCUGCUCGCUUCCUGAGCAUAAUGUCUCAUCUGACUCUCACCAUGACUCUCCUAAUGGCGCGGGAGGAGAACGUGAGUGCCUGCCUGCCGCUGGACUACACGGACGAGGAGUUUCAGACCAAGGACACAGAGCUGGCGGUGGGACUGGGCGUGGCUGCGGCUCUAAUGCU